UGCCGAUAAAUCAAAGUUCCCCAUUUGAAAUGCCAAGAGCCCACCGCGACAUCCUACAGCGGCGGCCACGAAAAUAGUGCAGGGAUCUCUCACUCACUUCGGAGGAAUAGGACGCCAAGCUACCCACUCAGUCAUCAAGUCGUGUUAUACCGAAGCCUAAUUGAAGAAUCCCCAAUUCCCUGGAAGGGUCUGCAGUACACGGUCGCUACCCGAUCCACUCGCCAUCGAAAGUUAUUGUAACCCGAUCCCGAGUCGCUGGAUGUACAUAAAUACCAGUUCCGCCGCUGCGGCCCGUGUUUAUACGAGUGUGGACUCGGAGAUGUCCGGGCCGACGUUUAUGAAAAGCCAUCGCAGCAUCAAAGCCAAUUAAGAUACCGGCCAUACGAGCUCUGAAGGAACUCGCGGCUAAUUUCUGCGACAAAGCCGACUAACGAUCGAGUCCAGUGCCCAGUGCCCAGUGUCCGAGGGAGAGCGGCACUUUUGUCGCAAACACAGGCCGUAAAAUUAAGA